AAUGGCAUCCAUGAGUUCUUUGAAAAUGAUUUCUUCCCUCAACCUUUCUACCUCUCCUCUUCAAACUCAAAACCAAAUAGUUUCUUCCGGUCUCUCUCUGUCCUUCCCAAGUAGAAGAAACUUCAACACUUCAACCACAAAGCAAGUAUCUACAACCAAAAGAAGUUCUCAGAACACCAGAACCAAUGCACUCUUCUUCAAUAACCAAAAGCAGCAUCAAGAAUCUUCAAAACCAGGUAUGUACAUGCUUCUCAGUCUUAGAUCCCUUUCCUAGUAGCAUUUGGUCAAUAAUAUAGACUAAAUAUAUCAUUUAAUGAAUGAACCUAAAACGUUGAUUUUUGCUUAUAAUAGUGACCGGAGAGAGUACUUAUUUACUGAUUUGUUAAUUUUUGUAGCCAAAGUUCAAGAACUGUUUGUGUAUGAGAUCAAUGAACGUGAUAGAGGAAGUCCUGCAUACCUUAGACUAAGUCAAAAAUCAGUGAACUCACUUGGAGAUUUAGUACCAUUCAGCAACAAACUCUAUUCAGGAAACUUGGAAAAAAGGUUAGGUAUAACUUCAGGUUUAUGUAUACUGAUCCAG
rnacentral:lncRNA from 1 species